rnacentral:rRNA from 1 species
CAAUGGGGGAACCCUGNAUGCAGCGACGCCGCGUGGAGGAAGAAGGUCUUCGCNAUUGUAAACUCCUGUUGUUGAGGAAGAUAAUGACGGUACUCAACAAGGAAGUGACGGCUAACUACGUGCCAGCAGCCGCGGUAAAACGUAGGUCACAAGCGUUGUCCGGAAUUACUGGGUGUAAAGGGAGCGCAGGCGGGAGAACAAGUUGGAAGUGAAAUCCAUGGGCUCAACCCAUGAACUGCUUUCAAAACUGUUUUUCUUGAGUAGUGCAGAGGUAGGCGGAAUUCCCGGUGUAGCGGUGGAAUGCGUAGAUAUCGGGAGGAACACCAGUGGCGAAGGCGGCCUACUGGGCACCAACUGACGCUGAGGCUCGAAAGUGUGGGUAGCAAACAGGAUUAGAUACCCUGGUAGUCCAAGGGCGAAUUC